rnacentral:rRNA from 1 species
GACAGAGGGUGCAAACGUUGCUCGGAAUUAUUGGGCGUAAAGCGCACGUAGGCGGUUCGUUAAGUCGGAUGUGAAAGCCCUCGGCUCAACUGAGGAAGUGCACCCGAAACUGGCGAGCUUGAGUACGAAAGAGGAUCGCGGAAUUCCCGGUGUAGAGGUGAAAUUCGUAGAUAUCAGGAGGAACACCGGUGGCGAAGGCGGGUCUCUGGGCAACAACUGACGCUGAGGCGCGACAGCGUGGGGAGCAAACAGG